CCUACGGGAGGCAGCAGUGGGGAAUUUUGGACAAUGGGCGCAAGCCUGAUCCAGCCAUGCCGCGUGUGGGAAGAAGGCCUUCGGGUUGUAAACCACUUUUGUCAGGGAAGAAACGGCUUUUUCUAAUACAGAGAGCUAGUGACGGUACCUGAAGAAUAAGCACCGGCUAACUACGUGCCAGCAGCCGCGGUAAUACGUAGGGUGCAAGCGUUAAUCGGAAUUACUGGGCGUAAAGCGUGCGCAGGCGGCUUUGCAAGACAGAUGUGAAAUCCCCGGGCUCAACCUGGGAACUGCAUUUGUGACUGCAUGGCUAGAGUACGGUAGAGGGGGAUGGAAUUCCGCGUGUAGCAGUGAAAUGCGUAGAUAUGCGGAGGAACACCGAUGGCGAAGGCAAUCCCCUGGACCUGUACUGACGCUCAUGCACGAAAGCGUGGGGAGCAAACAGGAUUAGAUACCCUGGUAGUCCACGCCCUAAACGAUGUCAACUGGUUGUUGGACGGCUUGCUGUUCAGUAACGAAGCUAACGCGUGAAGUUGACCGCCUGGGGAGUACGGCCGCAGGUUGAAACGUCGAAAAUGAAAUUGACGG
rnacentral:rRNA from 1 species